rnacentral:rRNA from 1 species
UUAACCUUAUCUUUUAGAUUUGGAGCGGUUAGUGGCGGACUGGUGAGUAACACGUAAGCAACCUGCCUAUCAGAGGGGAAUAACAGUGAGAAAUCAUUGCUAAUACCGCAUAUGCUAACAGUAUCGCAUGAUACAGUUAGGAAAGGAGCAAUCCGCUGAUAGAUGGGCUUGCGUCUGAUUAGUUAGUUGGUGGGGUAACGGCCUACCAAGACUACGAUCAGUAGCCGAACUGAGAGGUUGAACGGCCACAUUGGGACUGAGAUACGGCCCAGACUCCUACGGGAGGCAGCAGUCGGGAAUAUUGCGCAAUGGAGGAAACUCUGACGCAGUGACGCCGCGUAUAGGAAGAAGGUUUUCGGAUUGUAAACUAUUGUCAUUAGGGAAGAUACAAGACAGUACCUAAGGAGGAAGCCCCGGCUAACUAUGUGCCAGCAGCCGCGGUAAUACAUAGGGGGCGAGCGUUAUCCGGAUUUAUUGGGUGUAAAGGGUGCGUAGACGGAGAGACAAGUUGGUUGUGAAAUCCCUCGGCUUAACUGAGGAACUGCAACCAAAACUAUUUCCCUUGAGUGUCGGAGGGGAAAGUGGAAUUCCUAGUGUAGCGGUGAAAUGCGUAGAUAUUAGGAGGAACACCGGUGGCGAAGGCGACUUUCUGGACGAUAACUGACGUUGAGGCACGAAAGUGUGGGGAGCAAACAGGAUUAGAUACCCUGGUAGUCCACACUGUAAACGAUGGA